ensembl:lncRNA
CUCUCUCUUCCUGCUCUCUCUCUCUCUUCCUGCUCUCUCUUUCUGCUCUCUCUCCCUGCUCUCUCUUCUGCUCUUUCUUCCUGCUCUCUCUCUUCCUGCUCUCUCUUCCUGCUCUCUCUCUCUCUUUCUCUCUCCUCUCUCUUUCUGCUCUCUCUUUCUGCUCUCUCCCUGCUCUCUCUUUCUGCUCUCUCUUUCUGCUCUCUCUUUCUGCUCUCUCUUUCUCUUUCUGCUCUCUCUUUCUGCUCUCUCUUUCUGCUCUCUCUUUCUGCUCUCUCUUUCUGCUCUCUCUUUCUGUUUCUGCUCUCUCUUUCUGCUCUCUCUUUCUGCUCUCUCUUUCUGCUCUCUCUCUCUCACUCCCUUUUAUGCAUCUCUCUCUCUAUAUAAUUGGGUCUAUUAGCUCCUACAGGAGGUCAUGAGCAAUACCUCUAUAGAUGGGUGGGCACAGACUCUAACUGAACUGGCCGUGUGUGUAGACUAAAGUGCAGGGGGGGAAGAGCCACAGGGAAUAGAGUGUUGGGGAGAAACAAGCAUUAAUGCACUAAGAUGGACCUCAGCUCAUGUCUGCAUGCAGCAGGGGCAGGUAGCCUAGUGGUUAGAGGGGGCAGGUAGCCUAGUGGUUAGAGGAGGCAGGUAGCCUAGUGGUUAGAGGAGGCAGGUAGUCUAGUGGUUAGAGGAGGCAGGUAGCCUAGUGGUUAGAGGAGGCAGGUAGUCUAGUGGUUAGAGGAGGCAGGUAGCCUGGUGGUUAGAGGAGGCAGGUAGCUUGUUGAGCGUUGGACUAGUAACUGAAAGGUUGCUGGAUGGAAUUAAUCUGUCUGGAUCGAAUCCCGAGCUGACAAAGUAGAAAGUGGGCGUUCUGCCCCUGAACAAGGCAGUUAACCCACUGUUCCCCUGAACGAGGCAGUUAACCCACUGUUCCCCUGAACGAGGCAGUUAACCCACUGUUCCCCUGAACGAGGCAGUUAACCCACUGUUCCCC